UACUUGUUCACUGUCCUCUCUACUUGA
rnacentral:piRNA from 1 species